UGCAAAUUAAGAGUUCCAAAUAGUGAAAAAUGCAUCAAUGACAUGAAGAGGAAAUGUGAAAGGACCUAACACAAGGCAUUUCCAGAAUGAUCUAUUCUAGAAUUUCCCCAGGAAUUGAAGUCAAGCUCACUGAUUCAAAUUCUACAGAAUCACUUCUCUUCCCUUUUUGAAAAUCAGUAUGCCAUUUGCCCUUCUAAAAUCUUAUGGCACUUCUGUCCUCUUCUAUGAUUUUUCAAACAUCCACCAACAGAGGGGGAGAGUGCAAACACAGUCCCCCACUACCACAAAUUAUGAAGCCAAGUUUCACACAUUUGGGGAAAUCACAGGGGUCAAUCCAUUGAGAAUACAAUGGAUAAGCCUUGCCCUGGCAAAACCACCUUCUUGAUCACGGAAUCACUCUUGCGUGGUAAAUAUGUUGUUUGUUUAUUUUGAUUAAUGUAUAACA